rnacentral:tRNA from 1 species
GCUGGUUUUGCCGAGUGGUUAAGGGGGAAGACUUAAGAUCUUCUGCACAUAAGUGCAUGCGGGUUUGAACCCCACAACCAGCA